UACAGAGGGGGCAAGCGUUAUUCGGAAUUAUUGGGCGUAAAGGGCGCGUAGGCGGCCUGGCAAGUGGAAGGUGAAAUCCCUCGGCUUAACCGAGGAACUGCCCUCCAAACUGCUUGGCUUGAGUCCGGGAGAGGUGAGUGGAAUUUCCAGUGUAGCGGUGAAAUGCGUAGAUAUUGGAAGGAACAUCAGUGGCGAAGGCGACUAUCUGGAUAGAUACUGACACUGAAACACGAAAGCAUGGGGAGCAAACAGG
rnacentral:rRNA from 1 species